AACGCACGUUGCGCUCUUUGGGACUACUGAAGAGCAUACCUGUUUGAGUAUCGAAAAGUGCACUGCUCACUUCUUUUGAAGGAGUGAGUAAGGAAUUGAGGUUUACCAUAUUUAUUGGGUAUUCCUUUAAAGGAAGAAAGGUAGAGAGACUUUGCAGGUCGCAAAAGUGAGAUAGAUAUCCCGCUGAGAGCGACAGGCUUGGAGUUGUAGCUGCCGAAAGUUUGAGGGUUGGGGUGAAGGUCAUUCAAAACUCAAACUCAAACUCGAAACUUUUUGAACCUUUGAUCUCAAAUCAGGUAGGACUACCCGCUGAACUUAA
rnacentral:misc_RNA from 1 species